UCUAAUAAACGAAAGGAACAAGGUAAAUUUAGAGAGGUGGGGGGCCAAAAAAAAAAGUCUCCUUUAUAUAUUCCCCGUUUCCCUUCAUCUGAGAUUCUCGCUGUAGAAUUUGGUCGAGGGAGAGCGCGAUGAUGGGUUUCGAAUCGAGAAUUAAAGGGUGGGGGAGGAAAAGGAGGAGGAAGAGAGGUUAUACUGGCGAUGAGGAUUGGUGGGCGUGGGGGCGACUGAAGAAAAGGCGAGAUUUUUAUGAAUCCGAUGCUGGUAACGGUACCGAAGGCAAGUAUUUGAUCAAUGGGGUUCUGGCCGAGGGGGAGAGAAAUCUAGGGUUCUUGAUCAGGAUGGGGGUGGAGAAUUGGCUGUUGGGUGACUGGAUCUUGGAGGACUCUGAGAGAUUGGAUUUUCGCAGAUCGAUGAGCUCUGGUGCAUACGUACACAAGGCAAAAGGAGGAUUGUCGUGCCACCAAUGUUUACGCAGUUUUAAGUGUGACAUUGUUCUUUGUUCUAAUUGUCGAUGCAAGCGGUAUUGCACAACCUGCAUUACCACAUGGUAUCCCAAACAAAACAUGGAAGAUAUUAAAAUUGCCUGUCCAGUUUGUCGAGGGAACUGUAAUUGCACCCAGUGCUUGCACAAAUCAAAUAUCUGCAUGAAUUACGGACAUGAAGCUGAUGUCAACACAAAACUAAAGCAGAAGCUCUACUUGAUUCGCAAGGUUCUUCCUGUACUUAGGCAAAUUCACAAGGAACAGAAUUUGGAACUAGAGAUGGAAAUGAUAAUUCGAGGCACUGCAGUGACUCCUGGAGAGAUACCACUAACUGGGCUUGGGAAGGAUGAGCGUAUUUAUUGUAAUAAUUGCUACACAUCGAUAAUAGACUUCCAUAGAAGCUGUACAAAUUGUUCCUAUGAUCUUUGUCUAGCAUGCUGUCGAGAGCUCCGAGAAGGUCAUCUGCCCGGUGGUGGCAAGGAAGCAUAUUAUUUCUAUGAGAAGUUGACAAUGGUAGGCCAAGGUUGCAACAUGAAUGCAUAUGACCAAACGUCCUUCCAGAGGAUGAGAUUUAGUUGGGAGCGCCAAAAUAUGCUUGAUGAAGAUGAGCAGUUUAUUGGAUCUUGUAGCUCUAUCCGGGAAUGGAGAGUGAAUGGUGAUGGUAGCCUUCCAUGCCCAACAAAAAAUUGUGGCGGUUGUGGAGAUGGAUUGUUACUGUUGAAGAGAAAUCUUAAAGAUUAUUGUCUGAACAAUAUGCUUAAAAAAGCUGAACGUUUAGCAAAAAUACACCAUUUUGUGGAGGAAGAUCUUUCUGUCCACUGUUCAGCAUGUCCUUCAGGCAAUCAAUCAUCUAAGGAGGAUAACUUAAGUAAUCCUAAUUUGCGGAAAGCUGCAUCUCGUGAAAAUAGUCAUGAUAACUUUUUGUACUGUCCAAGCGCUGUUGACUUGGGAGAUAGUAAGCUGGAACAUUUCCAAUGGCACUGGGCAAAAGGGGAGCCAGUCAUAGUAAGAUCUGUCCUUGAAAAUACAUCCGGCCUAAGUUGGGAGCCGAUGGUAAUGUGGAGAGCUAUUAGAGAGACAAAUGCUGAUAAAUUCAAGGAGGAAAGUGAUGUUGUAAGAGCCAUUGACUGCUUGAAUUGUUGUGAGGUUGAAAUUGAUACCCAUGAGUUUUUUAGAGGCUACUUGGAGGGUCGAAUGUAUAAGAGUGGGUGGCCUGAGAUGCUAAAGCUGAAAGACUGGCCUCCAUCAUGUACUUUUGAAGAGCGUUUACCAAGACAUUUUGCUGAAUUUAUUGCAGCACUACCAUAUCAGGACUAUACUCAUCCAAAGUCAUCUAGUCUCAAUCUUGCUGCAAAUGUUCCCGAUGGUUACUUGAAGCCAGACCUUGGACCUAAGUCUUACAUAGCAUAUGGAAACCUUAAUGAACUUGGCAGAGGUGAUUCAGUUACAAAACUUCACUUUGACAUGUCCGAUGCGGUAAAUAUCAUGACACAUACAUCUGAGGUGAAAAUGCAUGCAUGGCAACAUGAUGUAAUAAAAGAGAUGCAGAAGAAGCAUCAUGAUGAGGACAUGUCAGAAUUGUAUGGAAGAGAUGACAAGGUUGGAAUAAAGCCACUGCACAAGGGUAUGGGUUUGCAAAGGAUACCUCUUAAACUUCACCUGAAUACAAGAACGACUCCGGAUGGUCAAGUGUACAGAUUAAAGAAAACUGACCUCCUAAGACAUGAUGAUGCUGUUCGUGGAACUUCUUUGUGCGAGAAUGUGGCUAUAGGGAGAAAGCGAUGUUACAUGGAACGAUUAACCAUUGAAGAGCAUGCUCCAAAAAUCAACUGUAUUCCUGCACAUUCAGGAUAUAAAUUUGAGCGGGAAGUAAAAGGCGGAGAAAUAUCUGAACAGAGAAAAUCUACAUCUCUGAGGAGCAGGAGAAAUAUCACAACUGCUACAUUGGGCAAUCAAGUCGGCGAUGAGCUUUUCUUAGAAAAUUAUACUAUGAAUGGUGAGCAUGACAAUGUAGCUGAAGAGGAGUUAUACAAUUCAAGAGGCGUUCAUGCUCAUGUCUCUAGUAAAAUGAAGCAUGUAACCAGGGUUGGUGCAUCUGAAAAUUCCCUGUUUUGUGGGAGUAGAUUUAUUCAAUCAAGACACUACAAAGAUACUGUGGACUCAUCUUCUCAGAGUGAAGGCACUUCCUCUUCUGCCUCUGGAGGUGCCAUUUGGGACAUAUUCCGGAGGCAGGAUGUACCAAAAUUAGAUGAUUACCUGCGAAAGCAUUGGAGAGAAUUCAGGCAUAUCAAUCAUGCCCCUAUAGAUUCUGUUUGCCACCCGAUCCAUGAUCACACACUUUUCUUAAAUGAGAGGCAUAAGCAGCAGCUUAAAGAAGAGUACAAUGUGGAACCUUGGACCUUUGAGCAGCACGUUGGUGAAGCGGUGUUUAUUCCGGCAGGAUGCCCUCAUCAAGUAAGAAAUAGAAAGUCUUGCAUUAAAGUGGCACUUGACUUUGUCUCUCCGGAGAGUGUUGGUGAAUGUGUCCGUUUAACUGAUGAGUUCAGACUGCUUCCAAGAACCCAUCGAUCAAAGGAAGAUAAAUUGGAGGUAAAGAAAAUGGCCAUAUAUGCCCUGUGUGAAACUAUAAAAGAAGCAAAUAAGUUAAUCUCAAUACUCAAAUCCCGAUUAGAUUCGGACAAUUGUCAAAGUUCGUAACAUCGAGAACCUCGCACUUUCAAACCGGAUCCGGAUUGGCGUCAAAGGCACACAUUCCAGAGCCUCCUCUUUUUGGAUAGGAGCCCUAGCCCCAUUCCACAUCACACGCACUCUUCAUCAGCAGUCUUUCUGAAACCAGAGAACAAACCAACUAUCAGGGAGCUAAUCAAGGUGCUAAAGAGUUGCAGUCAUUAUGCUCCAAUCCCAAGAUACUGCAAUUGCCUCUGUGUUUGGUUUGUGCUUUAAUGCUAAAUAUUGUAUAGUACUCUUGAAGCUUUGGAUGGAAACAAAUAAUUGGCAUAAGCUUUUAUUGGAGUCAGUUAUUUCUGCUUGUUGUAUAAUGAAACUUUUGAUGUAUUUCAUUACUCAGCAAGUAUUUUCGUGUUAUGUACUUUUUACAACUAGUUUUCUUUGGCAGUUUAAAGAACUCUGCAGAUUAAUGCUAUAUAUGCAAAGAUAUGCAAGAUAUAUAUGGUGGAUUAGGUAGAGAGUGAUAUUAAGGAC